UACAGAGAGUGCGAGCGUUAAUCGGAAUUACUGGGCGUAAAGCGUGCGUAGACGGCUAUCUAAGUCGGGUGUGAAAGCCCCGGGCUCAACCUGGGAAUUGCAUUCGAGACUGAAUAGCUAGGGUGCGGUAGAGGGAAGCGGAAUUUCCGGUGUAGCGGUGAAAUGCGUAGAUAUCGGAAGGAACAUCAGUGGCGAAAGCGGCUUCCUGGACCAGCACCGACGUCAGGCACGAAAGCGUGGGGAGCAAACAGG
rnacentral:rRNA from 1 species